rnacentral:rRNA from 1 species
GAUGAACGCUGGCGGCGUGCCUAACACAUGCAAGUCGAGCGAACAGACGAGGAGCUUGUUCCUCUGACGUUAGCGGCGGACGGGUGAGUAACACGUGGAGAACCUACUUAUAAGUCUGGGAUAACAUCGGGAAGACGGUGCUAAUACUGGAUAAUAUAUUGAACCGCAUGGUUCAAUAGUGAAAGACGGUUUUGGUGUCACUUAUAGAUGGAUUCGCGCCGUAUUAGCUAGUUGGUAGGGUAACGGCUUACCAAGGCGACGAUGCGUAGCCGACCUGAGAGGGUGAUCGGCCACACUGGAAGUGAGACACGGUCCAGACUCCUACGGGAGGCAGCAGUAGGGAAUCUUACGCAAUGGGCGAAAGCCUGACGGAGCAACGCCGCGUGAGUGAUGAAGGUCUUCGGAUCGUAAAACUCUGUUAUUAGGGAAGAACAAAUGUGUAAGUAACUGUGGACGUCUUGACGGUACCUAAUCAAAAAGCCCCGGCUAACUACGUG